AUUAAAGUACACUCCUCCCAUCCCCAAAUCCCUCAUUUCAGAAUUUCUAAGAAACUCUGAUCUUCUCAGAAUGAAUUUGCAGGUUUUUCAAGUCUCUCGCAAGGUUACUUCUGUAAUCUGGAUGCUGCAACUGUUGUGUAAACAUUGAUGCCUUGAGUAGAAUAUGGCAAUUGUAUCGGCAAAGCUUUGCAGAUCUCUUCUUCCUUUACAUUGUUGUCUCCUCAAGUAUCGCUCUAUUAACUCAAUACCUCCAUCGCAUUCACUUCAAGAAGCUGUAAAAAUUGCGGUUGAAGCCAAAGCCUAUGAGAAGAUUCCUGAUCUUCUCGUUUCCUUUGGACAAGCUUGCGAAAACCCGAAUCCUUUUGCGUUCCUAUCAACCUUUCCCGACAGCCUUAGAAUGCAAGUUGUUGAUGAAAUCUUGCAGUCUUUCAUCCCCAUAAGGCCCCGCUUUCGUGCUCAGGCUGCCUAUGCCUACCUCCUGUCUUUAAUUCUCCAAACCUCCAAUCCUCUCCCUCUUGGUCUUGCCGUUCUCCAGCGAACUCUUCGCUCUGGUUGCGUCCCUGUUGCUCAAACCCGUCUUCUCCUCUCGUCCGCUUGGGUGAACUGCAGGAAGGAAUCUCGGUCUGUCUCAGACACCCUAUUUGAGAUGCAGUCUAUUGGAUAUCACCCUGACAGUAGUACGUGUAACUACCUUAUAUGGUCUUUGUGUGAUGUUGAUCAAUUGAAUGAGGCUGUUAAAGUCUUGAAGGGCAUGAGUAGGGCUGGAUGUGUUCCUGAUUUGGAGAGUUUUGACACAGUAGUUCGUGCGAUGUGCAGGGUCAGAAAAACUUCUGAGGCAUUAGAUAUGAUAAAGAAAAUGGUGGAGAAAGUUGGGUUGACACCGAGGCAGGGGACUAUUGUGAAAGUAGCAGCAGCAUUGCGAGCAAACAGAGAGAUAUGGAGAGCAGUUGAGCUGAUUGAGUUCUUAGAAAGGAAGGAUUACCCUGUUGGGUUUGAGAGCUAUGAUUUAGUGGUUAAAGGCUGCUUGGAUUCCGGUGAGAAUAUUUUGGCCGGGAAGGUGGUCAUGAGGAUGACAGAGAAAGGCUUCAUACCAUAUAUCACGACGAGGCACAAGGUUGUGGACAGGUUGGCUGGUGCUGGUGAGUGGAAGUUAGCUUAUGCUGUGAGACAAAGAUUUGCAGAAUUGAGGUCUUAGCUCCUUCUGUUUCUUCCUUGAGUCCACGGAAUGUUAGCAUAUAAGGGGGCUGCUUUUCAGCCGGAUGUUUUGCACCUUAACUUUAAGGCCAAUGUUCCUUGGUGCUGCUACUCAGCUUCUCAAAAGUCUGGUGAUAUAUGAGAAGACAACGAUAUAUAGAAGUGGCGAGAACAACCCCUAGAUUUCUCUGACAGGUGAAGUUACUUCGACCAAACUGCUGCACUAGGAAAGUUGUGAUUGAGGUUUUACAGAUAAAAAGAGAUUGCAAUUUCAAAGAUUUUCACUCCCAAGUUUGACUCUGUACAAUGUCUCACAAUUAAAGAAACUUUCAACCAACCUUUGAGGUUGAAUCUGGAAUAUCAGUUUCACAAUUCGUUCAAAAGGGUGUUUAAAUCAUUUACAGGUGUAAGAAACCAUGGUGGUUUGGUUUGGGUCAGGUCCACACUGGCAACAAGAAAGAGAUGAUGGGUUUUAUAUGAGGGGUCUGUGGAGCUUGCCAGAAAGGCUAUCAUGUCUGCUAGCCCCAAUCAAUGGUGGGUUUUGUUAUUGUCAAGGAUGGCAAGGUCAUUGGUCAAGGGUUUCACCCUAAAACUGGCCAACCACAUAUUGAGGUUCUUGACCUGAGUUAUGCUGGCGAUGUGGCUGAGAAUGCAACAGCAUAUGUGAGCUUGGAACCAUGUAAUCACUGUUGGAGAAGUUAUGGAAAUGUCGGAGGAGGAGGAGUCUGUUUUGGUAUUAUUACAUAUAUUUUUAUUAUUUGACUAAUUUUAGGCAGAUCUAUUAUCUGGGUUGUGUCUUUUCUCUUUUUUUCUUUAGCUCUGUUUCUCUGAACCUUAUCUUGUUUAAAAGUUUCAUCUUUGAUU